AGAUGUGGGUGUUGCACAGUUACGGUGGGUGAGUGUGAGAGUUCAGGGUGGUGAUUGCUCUGACGAAGAACCUGUUCUUGAGUCUGUUUGUUCUGGCAACCGUGUAAAACAAGUGAUUGGCAACUUUAGUUAAGAUCACACGCUCAUGGGCUCCAUUUCAGAUACAGAUGUCAAUGCUGGAUUGAUUGGGGAGGCGGAUAUUGGAGGUAAAGGUGUUAUUGGAGCUCGCAUACCAAUACGCAGAAGGACGUGGAGAAAUGAGAGGAGGUGCAGGGGCCUAUACACUAGGGUUCUUUUGUAAAACAUUUACACCUGUGUUAGAAUUAUUAACUUUAAUAAAACAUUUACAGUCAUGUCAGAGUUAUUGACCUUAAUAAAAUAAGUUUUUUGUUUUUUUUAAACUGAAUUUUAUUGAACAAUAAAAUGUCUAGUAAUGAUUAUUUUAGAGAUUUAAA